rnacentral:sRNA from 1 species
UCCUCUCCUGUCCUGAGACAGAGGAAAUCCAACCCCCAGAUACCCUUCCUAUGUAGUGACCCUCAUGAGCAAAGGCCUGGGUGUGUGUGUGUUUAGGGGUGGGGUCAUCACAGAGCUUCGCCUUUGCUCCCUCUUCCUGUGCCAUCCCCAAGCCCGAGACCACCUCCUCCCUGCCCCUGGCAUCCAGUCUAACCUGCCUCUUCCUGAUCCACCUGGGGUAGAUGUUGCCUCCUACAUUUGGUGACCUGCUGAUGGAGGAGUACAUUGGGGACAAUGGGGAUCCCCAGACCCUCCAAGCCCAGUUCCAAGAGAUGAUGGCAGACUACAUGUUUGUGAUCCCUGCACUCCAAGUAGCACAUUUUCAGUGUUCCCGGGCCCCUGUGUACUUCUACGAGUUCCAGCAUCAGCCCAGCUGGCUCAAGAACAUCAGGCCACCGCACAU